ACAUUGGUAACUGGUGGCCGGAACGCUUCACGCGGCCUUGACCAGUCAUGUCCAUCGACAAGACCAAAGCCGCCCGAGAACCGAGGCGGCUUUUUU
rnacentral:ncRNA from 1 species